GAGUCCUACGGGUGGCAGCAGUGGGGAAUUUUGCGCAAUGGGCGAAAGCCUGACGCAGCAACGCCGCGUGAGUGAUGAAGGUUUUCGGAUCGUAAAGCUCUGUCAGAGGGGAAGAAAUAAUCGCAACAGUACUGACGGUACCCUCAAAGGAAGCACCGGCUAACUCCGUGCCAGCAGCCGCGGUAAUACGGAGGGUGCAAGCGUUGUUCGGAAUUAUUGGGCGUAAAGAGCAUGUAGGCGGUCUGUUAAGUCUGAUGUGAAAGCCCGGGGCUCAACCCCGGAAGUGCAUUGGAUACUGGCAGACUUGAGUAUGGGAGAGGAAAGUGGAAUUCCGAGUGUAGGAGUGAAAUCCGUAGAUAUUCGGAGGAACACCAGUGGCGAAGGCGGCUUUCUGGACCAAUACUGACGCUGAGAUGCGAAAGCGUGGGGAGCGAACAGGAUUAGAUACCCUAGUAGUCC
rnacentral:rRNA from 1 species